GAUGAACGCUGGCGGCGUGCCUAAUACAUGCAAGUCGAGCGAACGGACGAGAAGCUUGCUUCUCUGAUGUUAGCGGCGGACGGGUGAGUAACACGUGGAUAACCUACCUAUAAGACUGGGAUAACUUCGGGAAACCGUAGCUAAUACCGGAUAAUAUUUUGAACCGCAUGGUUCAAAAGUGAAAGACGGUCUUGCUUUCACUUAUAGAUGGAUCCGCGCUGCAUUAGCUAGUUGGUAAGGUAACGGCUUACCAAGGCAACGAUGCAUAGCCGACCUGAGAGGGUGAUCGGCCACACUGGAACUGAGACACGGUCCAGACUCCUACGGGAGGCAGCAGUAGGGAAUCUUCCGCAAUGGGCGAAAGCCUGACGGAGCAACGCCGCGUGAGUGAUGAAGGUCUUCGGAUCGUAAAACUCUGUUAGUAGGGAAGAACAUAUGUGUAAGUAACUGUGCACAUCUUGACGGUACCUAAUCAGAAAGCCACGGCUAACUACGUG
rnacentral:rRNA from 1 species